rnacentral:rRNA from 1 species
UGGGGAAUAUUGGACAAUGGGCGAAAGCCUGAUCCAGCCAUGCCGCGUGUGUGAAGAAGGUCUUCGGAUUGUAAAGCACUUUAAGUUGGGAGGAAGGGCAGUAAGCGAAUACCUUGCUGUUUUGACGUUACCGACAGAAUAAGCACCGGCUAACUCUGUGCCAGCAGCCGCGGUAAUACAGAGGGUGCAAGCGUUAAUCGGAAUUACUGGGCGUAAAGCGCGCGUAGGUGGUUCGUUAAGUUGAAUGUGAAAGCCCCGGGCUCAACCUGGGAACUGCAUCCAAAACUGGCGAGCUAGAGUAGGGCAGAGGGUGGGGGAAUUUCCUGUGUAGCGGAGAAAUGCGUAGAUAUAGGAAGGAACACCAGAGGAGAAGGCGACCACCUGAGCUCAUACUGACACUGAGGUGCGAAAGCGUGGGGAGCAAACAGG